UCGUAACAACCGAGGCGCGAGGGCUGUCGCUGAUCUGAACCCUCAGGUCGUGCACGCUCGAGCGUCCUCGCACAUCCAUCUCACCCCAAUGUGCACCACCGCGUGGGUCUCCCUUUGGCUUGUUCGAAGGGGGCUCACGUUUUCACACAAACCCCCCCAUCUAAAAGUGUAGAAUGUCCUCAUUUAUGCAAUAAAUA
rnacentral:misc_RNA from 1 species